rnacentral:lncRNA from 1 species
CCAAAUUGAUUUUAAAUUCAUAAAGGCCUAGGUCUUGAAAUUUACCAAAUGGACGGUCUAAAUUUAUUGUUAGAGGGGACUCAUAUUGACCAUAUAUAGGGCACAUAGAUAGAUGUCGAACGUUUCCCUAAGUCUAUCAUAGUUUGAAGCACAAGGUGGCUUUUAUCAAGGAGAGGACCGGCUCGUUCAGUUGAAGUGGCCGAGUGCACACAUUCGGUAUUCAAGCUUCGAUGCUCCAGCCCCUCAAUUGACUCGGUUUCUUCGGUUGGUUCAGCCCAUUAUGCCGAUCCAACAUCCGCGCAGCUGCAACGUGUGUAAAUUAAUUUUUCUUUUUUGACAUUGAUUAUUAUGAUGAAGAGAGUAUCAUACAAAUACCACAAAUAUGGUUUUACUAGAAGUAGGUAACUAUACAAUCAUCUUUAUCGAGUUUUACCCAAAGGGGUAACUGUACUAUAUGCUCCCUUGGGAAUAUGCCAUGUGGGCUCUACGAUCAAAUGAAUGUGCUAUCCACGGCCAUUUUGCAAUUAACUAAAGGGUGCAGUUGGUAUAAGGUAGAGGAUCUAAACAAUCAAGGUAAAGCGCACUUUCAAAUAGUGUCAAGAAAUGUUCUUUCAAUAUUAGAAAUCUAUGCGAAAGACUUCAAAUAUAUUUUCAGCUCUAAUUAUAAAAUUUAAAGCUUCAAAAAUAGUGUAGAUAGAGCAGAUCUAUGAAAAGUUAAAAAUCUUGAAAAUUAACGGUCCAAAAAUGCAUUACAAGAUGCACUAUUUUCAAACUUGAAAUCUAAUUUUUUCUCAUAUCCAUGCAUCUUUAGGUUGAGAUGAUCAAUUCGAAGAUAUUUGGGCACUAAAACGACAUAUUCGAGUGAAAUUUUUGAGGUGCCCCCUAAUUUGAUUGUUUAGAGCCUCACACUUACACAAACUUUUUCCUUAUUAUCUUGGCAAUUUAUUAAGGGGCCGGUUUGUAUAGAGCCUAGGCUCUAAACAAUCAAAUUAGAGCCUACUUUCAAAUACUGUCGAGAAAUGUGGUUUUACUACUGGAAAUCCUUGUGUUAGCCUUAAAAUAUAUUUUCAUAUUUAUUUAUAAAGUUUAAAGCUUAAAAAAGAGUGUAGAUCGAUAGAUCUAUGAAAACUUGAAAAUUGACGGUCCAAAAAUGCAUUACAAAAUGUACUAAUUCCAAAACAUGAAAUCCAAUUUUUUCUCAUGUCUAUGCAUCUUGAUGUCAAGAUGAUCAAUUUGAAGAUUUUUGAACAUCAAAACAAAAUCUUCUAAUGAAAUUUUUGAGGUAGGCUCAAAUUUGACCGUUUAGAGCCACAACUCUAUAUAAACUUUUCCCAUUUGUUAAUUGUAUAAAAUGCUCCAUGGAAUCUACUAAUAUCUCAAUUAACUACAACCAAGAUUGAACAAAGUGGAUAGAUGAUUAGGAUCAGCCACCCCAAAAAUCGUCUCGGAUUGGUGGAUCGAAGAAUCGGCUUGAUCAGCUGGUUUCAGCUUUAAAUUUUUUUCAAAAAUCACUAUAAUUUCUCAAAAUUUUAGUCUUUUAGGUUUCUAAAGAAACAAUGGCAAUUGCAUUAUUUUUCAUUAUUGUGUCAAAACCUGUAUCAUGCUUAGUGUUUUUUCUAUUAAAUUUAUUUUAUAGUCAAAAUAAAGUUUAAAAUGCAACAUGACAAUAAAAUGAGUAUCACUAACUCAAUUUAUUUUUAUUUAUUUUUGUAUUAACUUAGAAGUUUUGAUUUUUAAAAAAACUUUAUAAAACAAAUUUAGUGGAAGAUAUUGUUAGUAGCAAGAGAUAGAGGAGUUGUUAGUGGAGAGAUAUAGAAAUACCAAGGUUGGGGGGGAAGGGGGAGGAGGAGAGAUAGAGACAGAGAGAGAAGGGGACGCCACGGGGAUGAGAAAGAGAGACGUGAAAAACUUAUAUUAAUAAGUUGAAAACCUAGUGUUAAGAAGAAUAAGCAUAGGAGGGGAAGAGAAAAGAAUAGUCCCACAUCGGGACUCGAGCGAAACAUUUUCCUUGCAGCACAAGCAUUAGCUCGCAUGUUAGUGGCAACUAAAGCUUCCCAUGAAAGCGAGCUCAAAUUUUUUUUAGAGUUUUAAAUUGGCCCUCUACCACUAAAAAAUAGUUUUAAAAAGUUUUAAAUUCAUAGCGUCGGCCCUCCACUACUAAAGUGUUUCAAAAAUUAAAUAAUAUAAAUUUUAGAAAACAUAAAUCGGUUGAGUUAAAUUAAAUUAGAGAAUUUUUUUUUAAAAGGCUAAUGAUAUAUUAAAAAAUAAAUGAACUGGUUGACAUCAGAACCAACGAAACAGGUAUGGAUUGGCUCGAAUUAGCCGGUUCCCGAUCAAUUAUGGGAAUCGGAUUGCCCCCUCCUGUUUCUAAUCCAGACAACUCCAAUCUAAAUCAACAGUUUGUAAAACAACAAAAAAAGACGAAAGAAGAGUACAUAAUGCACUGAGACUUGAGGGGAACGCAUUCUCUCUCUCUCCUCUGCAAAUAAAGCAUAUGAGAAGAACGUCAUAAAACUAGUCCAUGAAGAAACAAAUGUAGAUGCAAUCAAAUGAAGCGCGAGAAGAUCAAACAAUGUACAAUAUGCACGCAACACUGAAUAAAAAAAAAAACCAGAAGAAGAACUACAGAGAGUGAGGAGAGAGACCCAAUUCACCCCCUGUAACCAAAGCAGUCAUGUAACGCAGAGACCAUGUUUCUCCUCUUUUCAUCUUCUCCGCUCCCUCUAUUUCCAUUGUUUCUCUGUUUUUCUCUGGGCACACAAACCCUAUUCAUCUCUUAUAUAUGGCUUGGCAAAUAAUACACCCGUAGAAAUCUGACUCUCCACCAAACAAAAACAAGCUAUGAAUUCAAUUUUUC